rnacentral:lncRNA from 1 species
AUAACAUUAUAGAAUAGUAUAACUUUGCAGUGAUUACUACAGUUUCACAAUGAUGCAAAGAGGUUUGAAUAGAUAAAACAAAAAUAAAAAAUUAGAGAUGUACCAUUCUAUGACGUUUGCUCUCUGGUACUUUCCCUGCUAAUGGCGAUGGGAAAAAAAAUUGAGAUUGAAGUACCUUGCUUUUCCACCCAAAUUGAAGCACAACUUGGAAGUUGGAACCAAUAGCAAACUCCAGUUUGACGUUGUUUGGUAAUUUCCCAAAUGUCUAUUUGCAAAAAUUGAAAGAAGACGAAAUGACAAACCCAAAACAAUAGAAAACCAAAGACCCUAAAAUUACCCAAUGACAAUUAGGUAGUCUAACCAUUUGAUAGAUCUAUAUGCGAACUCUUAAUUAAUGUUGAUAUGUACUCCUUUCCCCAAAUUUUGGUUAUUUUGCUACGCUCCCCAAGAGUAAAUAUAGAGAUGAGCGAGAAUAACAUCUUUCACGAUGUCGACGGUUUCUAACUGCAAAUCAGUUUUUGAAUGAAACUGAAACUGUCUUGUUCCUCUAGGUUAUUGUUUUACCCUUUGUUUAUUAUAUCAAUUUUGGGAAAAUGCCCGAGAGCCCUAAAUUUUAAGAUUUUUUUCCCAGUAACAAAAUAAGAUUUUAAAAUUCCCAUGAACCUGUACCCUUUAAGAGUCUCAUUCCCACCUGUCAAAUUUUCAUCUAUUCUCUUAUUUUUACUGAAAAAAUUACCCUUUUCUUAACCUCACGCCUCUCUACUUUGUUUAGAUCUGUGCUCUCUCUCUCUCUGACUUCUCUCUCUCUCUCUAUCUCUCUCUCUCUCAGAUCCGAUCCCGCCGAGUCUGUUCCUAGACUGGUCACCAAAAUGCCUCUGCCAUUUCCCGAGUCAACCUCCGCAACGCAUUCCAUUACCGGUGCUAGUUUGGGGUUUUGGUUCUGAUUUGACUCCCGACGAGGCUUUCGAGGCUGAUGGGAUUGUGGAGGCUCCGAGAUCCGACUCACAAUUCGGGCUCUUCUUCCCUGUUAACCAACUUGCACUUCAAGACGGCUUCUUGUUCUUCAACGACGACGAAGCCUAAGAGAUCGACUGGACGACGAGUCGUUGAAGGUGUUGUAGGACGCAGAUCUAGACCUCCGGUUGACACCCCGCUGGCUUUCAAACCGAAGCCCACCGUCAGUUGGUUUUUUUAUAUACAUAUGAGUGUUGUUUAGUGAUUAGUUUGUUGGAUUUUGAUUAUGACUUGAAUGAUGAAUAUUAAGUUUGAGCAUGUGAUACGCCGUGUGGAUUUCUUAUCUUUAUGUGCAUGAGUUUUGGGAGGUACUAAUGGUUAUACUAAAAUGGUUCACCAGAUGGUUUGUUGGAGUCUGCUAAUUGGAUUGGUUAAUGUUUGUUUAGUAGAAUAUGGUCUCACACUAGAUGGUGUGUGGGCUCUGCUUCUUGUUAUAUAUAGUUUAUGAUUUUCCACCUUCAGCUGUUUGCUUUGUGCUUUGUUUGUGCAAGUUGAACAAGGCUUGAGGAUGAGAGCUCGAAAUUCUUUUUACUUCUUGGAAAUAGACCCCUGCAGAGGGGCAGACAAAACCCUGUAUUUUCUUCCAAAUAUCUCCUACUGCCCCUAGGAGACCCUCCUACUGUCCCUAGUAGACCCUCUUAUUGCUCGCAGUAAACCCCCUGAUAGACCCCAUGCAUAUUGCCUCCUAAAAACCCCUUACUGCCCCCACUAUACCCCCAACAGACCUCUUACUGCCCCCAAUAGGUGGUCAUACUGACCCUAAUAGGGACCUGUUAUAAGUGACUGAAGCACAUAGUUAAGUUUAAGGGUCCUACUGCCCCCAGUAGACCCUCCUACUGCCCCUAGUAGACCUCCGGAUAGACCCCAUGCAUAUUGCCUCCAAAAGACCCCCUACUGCCCACUAUACCCCCGACAGACCCCUAAUACCCCCAAUAGAUGGUCAUACUGACCCCAAUAGGGACCUAUUGUAAGUGACUGAAGCACAUAAUUAAGUUCAAGGGUUAUACUACCCCCAGUAGACCCUCCUAUUGCCCCUAGUAGACCCCCGGAUAGACCCCAUGCAUAUUGCCUCCAAAAGACCCCCUACUGCCCCCGCUAUACCCUCGACAGACCCCUUACAUAUUGCCCCCAAUAGGUGGUCAUACUGACCCCAAUAAGGACCUGUUAUAAGUGACUGAAACACAUAGUUAAGUUCAAGGGUCAUACUGACCCCAAUAGGAGAUCAACGGUCGUCGGAUUUCGGUCAAUGUCGUCGGAUCCUAGUCAACGGUCAUCGGUUGCAAGAAUCCGGUCAUAGGUUUUUAUUUCAAAAUAGAUCUUUUAUUGUUCUUAUAAUGGUGUAUUGUAGUUUAUUUAAUUCAUUAAAGGUAUAAUUGUCUUUCUGCUGUUUAAGUUGGCUUAUGAGAAUUUUAAAAUCUCAUUUUGUUAGUGGGAAUAAAAUUCUUAAAAUUAGGGCUAGUAGGCAUUGUUCCAUCAAUUUUUUAUAGACCUAUAUAAAGUGAGGGGUAAUAGUAGGGAUUAUGAAAGUUUAACUUUUGGCAGUUCCAUAAGCCAAAUUGGCUUAAUUAAUUAUGAUACUUCAUGUUGUAAAUCAUAUUGAAAAUGGUUGGGGUUGGCCGAAUCGAAAUAAGAAAACACUCAAGUCUUGAAAAGAAUGGUGAAUUUAUUCAAAAAAAAAAAACUAAAGUCUUGAAUAAAAAAAAAGGGACCCCCAUAAAUAUCUUAACCCAGACAUCUUCUUCUUCAGCAUUAUGACAUUGUCGUGAACAACAAUGGAAUGUUAAAAAGCAACAUAGACUUUAUGGACACCCGACGAAGAAGAAGAAGAAGCUCAAGUCAGAGGCCAACAAGUAACUGUACAUAUAUAGCCUUGACUACCACAUAGGAGAGCGGUCUCUUAGAGCAUUUUCAACAGCUCUUAUAUUAAUUCUCUAUUAUAGAGGAGUAAAUCACAAAAUUUCUAAACGAAAAUAAAAUCAACUCUAACAGCUCGUCUAUUCUAUUAUACAAAUUAAAUGAUUUUCUGUAUAAUUUAAUGAAUCUAUAUAAAUAUUAUAUAUUUAUUAUAAUCAAACCCCAAACUCAUGUUAAAUGUUUUAAUUUUAUGAUGUUUUGUUCUUUUUUGAAGAAAGAGAAUAAAUUUUAAAAGGCAAGCAAUAAAGUUUACAUGAAGAUACAAAUUUUUAAGAAUUUUAUAGAUUUAGAGGAUAUGUUUCUCUCUCAUCUCACAUUUUGUAUUAUAGAGGAUCCUUUACAUGAGUUGUUGGAGCCAAAAAAUGAUGUUUUUCCUCCAAAAUAGAGAUUAUUCUAGUUUUACAUGAGCUGUUGGAGAUGCUCUUAUGGUGUCCGCAUCAUCAAAUUGUCCUCCGAUGAUGAUGGCUUAAAACUGCAAUUAGAGCAACUGACUUAUAAGCCAAGUAUGGAUCUUCCCCAUAUGUAAGUUUUCAUGUUUUCAACUUUCAAUUAUGAUCUUUUUCGUCACGGCGGCUACAUAGGGCAAUCAGGUACUGUUGGGAUUUUAACCCCACAAACGAAUAGCAAUUCAAAAAUAGACACACCCCUCAUUAGUGCACAAUACGUUAAUAAAACAGAAUAACAACAAGAAUAAAAAAACAAAACUGUUGACACAAAAUUCAACAUGGUUUGAUAAAUUUUAUUCAUACGUCCAACCCAGGAUAUUUGCUCUUUUACUAUAAGAAUAAAACUAGUACAAUAUACAUGAGUUAAAUCCCACAACCCAAAUCCUAAAACCCAUGUACACCCCCACUCAUAAAAUACUCAAGAACAGAAUGUCUUACCUAAGAGAACUUCCCUCUUAGCACCUUAAUUUUCUCUCUUACUCUCAUGCACAACCCACACAAGCUAUUUCUAUAUAUGCUUGCCCAAUUCUUAAUAGAUGCUAAUUUGCAUUCUAAACUUUAAAUGGUUUCCAUGCAGCAAUUUAUAGGCACCAAUCAUAUAUGUGAAAAAGGUUUUGCACGUCUUUUUCUUCCUUCUUAUUCUAAUUGAUGCAGCACACCAUUGAAGACAACCUUUUCCCCUUCAAUCGCCACUAACAUCAAUCAAAGCUUUGUAGCUAUAUCAUAGUUAGCUAUGCUCUCCAUUUACUUUUUGCAUGAGAAUGAAUCACCAUUAUCAUCAUCUAGCUUGGUGAGAAUAGCGAUUCAUUUACAUGCAAAACUGCACCAUCGAGAUCGUUCUUCACAUAGACUAACUACACUCCCUGAAUCAAUUUAAUUUGGUCCACCUUCAUUCAGCACUUCAACCAACCCUAUGUAAUUGCAUGCACCAAGCUAACUUUGCUAGUUAACUUCAUAUAGAAGGGUCUCGAUGCACCCUCUCUACCUGCUAGAUUAAACCUUUCACCAUUAUCCAGAGACCAAAAUCCUUUCUUAGAGCCUAGAGACCUAACCCUUUCUUCUUUGACUUGGUUAGUUACCAUGCAUAGCAGAAGCAUGAUACUUUUGGCAAACACCAACAUAUAUACAUGAUCUUCACUCUUCCACAAACUGACACAUGUACUGAAUGCUCAUACGGGAAAGUUUACUC